AUUGAACGCUGGCGGCAUGCUUUACACAUGCAAGUCGAACGGUAACAGGCCUUCGGGUGCUGACGAGUGGCGAACGGGUGAGUAAUGCAUCGGAACGUACCCAGAGGUGGGGGAUAACGCAGCGAAAGCUGUGCUAAUACCGCAUGUGAUCUGAGGAUGAAAGCGGGGGACCGAGCAGCAAUGUUUGGCCUCGCGCCUUUGGAGCGGCCGAUGUCGGAUUAGCUAGUUGGUGGGGUAAAGGCCUACCGAGGCGACGAUCCGUAGCUGGUCUGAGAGGACGACCAGCCACACUGGGACUGAGACACGGCCCAGACUCCUACGGGAGGCAGCGGUGGGGAAUUUUGGACAAUGGGCGCAAGCCUGAUCCAGCAAUGCCGCGUGCGGGAAGAAGGCCUUCGGGUUGUAAACCGCUUUUGGCAGGAACGAAACGGUGUCCGCUAAUACCGGGCGCUAAUGACGGUACCGGCAGAAUAAGCACCGGCUAACUACGU
rnacentral:rRNA from 1 species